rnacentral:lncRNA from 10 species
CCAUGUUCUGCUGAUUGGUCCAUUUUACAGAGCGCUGAUUGGUCCAUUUUACAGAGUGCUGAUUGGUGUGUUUACAAACCUUUAGCUAGACACAGAGCGCUGAUUGGUGUGUUUUUACAGAGUGCUGAUUGGUGUGUUUACAAUCCUUUAGCUAGACAGAAAAGUUCUCCAAGUCCCCACCCCACCCAGAAGCCCAGCUGGCGUCACCUCUCAAGAUAAGCUACAGCUUUCUGCCAGGGAGGAGGAGGAGGAGAAAGGGAGGAGGAAGAGGGAAGGAGGAGGAAAGGAGAAUGACCUGGUUUUCUUUUUGCAAGUGACAGGUAUGAAGCCCAGCCUGGAUGAUUUCCAUGAUAUUAUAUUUUGAAACAGCCAUUUUUAGAGUUUGAAGUGGCUUCAAGUCAGAUCAGCCCCGUUGUCUCUGAUGCUGCAGGCUGUUCAUUGUGUUUAACUGCGAGAUCUGCCAGACUCAACUCAAAAGGUGGUUUCCUUUAGCUGCAAACUGCGUGCAAUUCAGAUCUCUCAUUCCCAUGACCAUAAGACUGCAGGCUAAUGUGAGGUCAAAAAGUAUUCAAAAUAUCUGGCGGAAAUGCCUGGUUCAUAUUUAAAACAAAGGUUUAGUAAAAAGAAAAGAUGAAAAUGAUUUGAAAGGGACUAACUCCACCUCUCCUCAGCAACGCCCUCCUCCUCUCCUGGGACAACUUUGCUUUUCACAUCACUCAGCUCUUCCUUGUUUUACAGCAGAGUGGUGGUAAUUGAUGUGAAUGUUCUACUAAACAGACAGACGCGUGAGCCAGAGUCCUCUUAGUUAAUAGACAGUUCAGUUCUAUCAAGCUUGUUGAAAUACUUUGCAUUCUGAUAUACUUUUUAAUUUUUUAAUUUAUUUUAUUUAUUUUUGAGACAAGAUCUCAGCUCCGUCACCCAGGCUGGAGUGCAGUGGUGUGAUUUCCACUCACUGCAGUCUCUACCUCCCAGGCUCAAGCAAUCCUCCCACCUCAGCCUCCCGUGCGGCUGGGACCACAGUCAUGUGUCACCAUGCCUGACUAAUUUUUUUUUUUUUUGUAGACAUGGGGCUUCACCAUGUUGCCCAGGGCUGUUCUCGACCUCCUGGAUUCAAGCAAUCCUUCCACCUCGGCCUCCCAAAGUGCUGGGAUUACAGGCAUGAGCCACCUCGCCACUGGC